UUCAUGAAAUGAGAACCCAUCAAAUUUGUCAGCAAAAAGAUCCUCGUGCUGAUUCCUCACUUCAGAAAGAUGCUCCAUAUCAGCUUGAAGAACAUAAAGAAGUGGGGCCAGAAGUUCAUGCAUUCCUUGUCUGUAACCAUACUCUGGAUGUCUAAGGCACCAAAGUAGCAGAAUCCUCCUCAACAUGGCUUGGCAUCCAGCAGUCUGGAAAUAGCUACCGUGCUCGGGAUAUAAACGCGAAAGAUCCUGGUCCACCAUCUUCUCAAGUUCAGCAUUCCUGAAGAAGCGACCCCACAUGCUAUCAGGGUUUUGUGACAGUGGAUUGUCUAUGACAGGAUCAGGAGAAUUACUUCCAUCUUUAGGCACAUGUGGAUCAAUAAGAAGUUGUCUUCUCAAAGAAGCAUACCUUCUACGUGAGUUAGCGGUAACACGACGAAGAUCAUCAAUGGUUGAAGGUGGAGGAGUCGUCUCGUCGUUUUGGAGAUCUGAGAGGUGUCCAGUGGCGUAUUGAUUUGGGGAUUUUGCCUUCUU
rnacentral:misc_RNA from 1 species